GGGCGUGAGUGAGUGAGAGAUAGAUAGAUAGAUACAUAGAUAGACACAUAAAUACAUAGAUAGAUAGCCAGAUGGAUAGAUAGAGAGGAGGGUAUAAAAAGGGCAGGAUAAGACGAAGGGAAGAGAUUAUUGAGAGUGACAGCAUGUGCGUGAGAAGAUGGAGCAACAGAAAUUAAACCGAAAGACUUCUAUUACAUAAAUACAUCUAAACACGCAUAUCUGUUAAGAAAUCACACACACACACACACACACACACACACACACACACACACACACAACCCCCUCCUUCCCAUACAACCUCACCCCCCCUACACACACAACCCUCCCCCCUCCCGUCUCCCAUCCCCCUCCCCCGUCAGAGGCGUCGUUAGCUCCGGCCGCCAGACAGAGGAGCUUAGCAACACCGAAAUACCGAAACACUUCACAAUUAGUGUCUCCUUGAACGUGGGAAAAUAUAUAAACAAUAUCUCGGAACCAAUAAAGCUCAAAUCCUCAAAAAUAUGUGACCUAUUCGAGGCUCUCGGAGUGCCACGGUAGGCCAAUUAUCGAUGGUCGCUCGCAGAAGCUGUUUUUGGCACUCCCUGGCCCUCGCCCCGGGCACAGUACAGGGGCUCGGGGUCAGGCAUGGCAGUUGUGGCUGGAGGGUGGUAGAGCAGCGAGCUUGUGGCACCGCGGGUUAAAAGAUGAUUUACAGUUUGGUAAAUGACUUUUUAAGUGUGAAUUUCACAACCACACGCUAAACGAAACAGUAUUUUGAAAAAAAAAGAAAGAGAAAGAAACGAGUAAAUGAAGUGUAAAUAACGAAAGAAAAUAAAUAUUUAAGUAUAAAUAACGAAAAAAAAACGAACCGGCAACUUAAAUGACUUUCCAAGUGGCCGUAAAAAAA